AUUGAACGCUGGCGGAAUGCUUUACACAUGCAAGUCGAACGGCAGCACGGGGCAACCUGGUGGCGAGUGGCGAACGGGUGAGUAAUACAUCGGAACGUGCCCAAUCGUGGGGGAUAACGUAGCGAAAGUUACGCUAAUACCGCAUACGAUCUACGGAUGAAAGCGGGGGAUCGCAAGACCUCGCGCGAAUGGAGCGGCCGAUGUCAGAUCAGGUAGUUGGUGGGGUAAAGGCUCACCAAGCCGACGAUCUGUAGCUGGUCUGAGAGGACGACCAGCCACACUGGGACUGAGACACGGCCCAGACUCCUACGGGAGGCAGCAGUGGGGAAUUUUGGACAAUGGGCGCAAGCCUGAUCCAGCCAUUCCGCGUGCAGGAUGAAGGCCUUCGGGUUGUAAACUGCUUUGUACGGAACGAAACGGUUCUCUCUAAUACAGGGGCGUAAUGACGGUACCGUAAGAAUAAGCACCGGCUAACUACGUGCCAGCAGCCGCGGUAAU
rnacentral:rRNA from 1 species